GAUGAACGCUGGCGGCGUGCUUAACACAUGCAAGUCGAACGGGAAACCUUUUAUUGAAGCUUCGGCAGAUUUAGCUGGUUUCUAGUGGCGGACGGGUGAGUAACGCGUGGGUAACCUGCCUUAUACAGGGGGAUAACAGUCAGAAAUGGCUGCUAAUACCGCAUAAGCGCACAGAGCUGCAUGGCUCAGUGUGAAAAACUCCGGUGGUAUAAGAUGGACCCGCGUUGGAUUAGCUGGUUGGUGGGGUAACGGCCCACCAAGGCGACGAUCCAUAGCCGGCCUGAGAGGGUGAACGGCCACAUUGGGACUGAGACACGGCCCAGACUCCUACGGGAGGCAGCAGUGGGGAAUAUUGCACAAUGGGGGAAACCCUGAUGCAGCGACGCCGCGUGAAGGAAGAAGUAUCUCGGUAUGUAAACUUCUAUCAGCAGGGAAGGUAAUGACGGUACCUGACUAAGAAGCCCCGGCUAACUACGUG
rnacentral:rRNA from 1 species